CACACUCCAAGGGCCCUCACCUCCUCCCUGUAGGCCGUCUCGUCGUUGUUGGUAAUCAAGCCUACCUCUGUAGUGUCGUCUGCAAACUUGAUGAUUGAGUUGGAGGACAGAGCAGACCAUCCUGCAUUGACAACUACAUUGGCAUUCUACAUGACUCAUUUGACCUGCAGUAUGACGUGUGUGGGCUGCGGAUGAGGGAGUUAACCCUGGGUUUGAGGCCCAGAAAGGGGUGUCGACACCUGUGUGCACACCUGCAAAUGUUUUAUGAUUAGACCCUGAUGCCUCAUACUGUGUUUCAGUCCAAGCACAGUAUGACAAUCAAAAUACCAUUGAUGUGUACUGGCUGUUCGAUGAUGGAGUCAUGGUCCUCAUCGCCAAGUUCUGCCUUGGUUUCCAUGACGUCAAAGUGCUGCCUGAUAUCAAUGGACGACCACAACAUGAACAG